rnacentral:rRNA from 1 species
UCCCGUUGAUCCUGCGGGAGGUUGCUGCUAUGAGGGUUCGACUUAACCAUGCAAGUCUAGGGGGCCUUCGGGUCACCGGCGAAAUGCUCAGUAACAUGUCGAUAAUCUGCCCUUAGGUUUGGGAUAACCUCGGGAAACUGAGGCUAACACCGAAUAUGAGAAUAUGACUGGAAUGUCUUUUCUCCAAAAAGUAAUGCCUAAGGAUGAGUCGGCACCUGAUUAGGUUGUUGGUGGGGUAACGGCCCACCAAGCUUACGAUCAGUAGGGGCCCUGAGAGGGGUAGCCCCGAGAAGGGUACUUAGACACUGACCCUAGCCCUACGGGGUGCAGCAGGUGCGGAACCUUUACAAUGCACGAAAGUGUGAUAAGGGAACCCUUAGUGCUUAUGCACUGCAUAGGCUUUUUCCAAGAGUAAGUAUCUUGGAGAAUAAGUGGUGGGUAAGACUGGUGCCAGCAGCCGCGGUAACACCAGCGCCACAAGUGGCAAUCACAAUUAUUGGGCCUAAAGCGUCCGUAGCCGGUCUUGUAAAUUCUUUGUGAAAUCGUCGGGCUCAACCCGACGAAUUGCAGAGAACACUGCAAGACUUGAGACCAGGAGGAGUCAGAGGUAUUCCAGGGGGAGCGGUAAAAUGCUAUAAUCCUUGGAGGACCACCUGUGGCGAAGGCGUCUGACCAGAAUGGUUCUGACGGUGAGGGACGAAAGCCAGGGGAGCAAACCGGAUUAGAUACCCGAGUAGUCCUGGCCGUAAACGCUGUGAGCUAGGUGUUGCAUAUUCUUCGCGAAUAUGCAGUAUCGAAGUGAAGACGAUAAGCUCACCGCCUGGGAAGUACGGUCGCAAGACUGAAACUUAAAGGAAUUGGCGGGGGAGCACCACAAGGGGUGCGGCGUGCGGUUUAAUCUAACUCCACACAGAGAAUCUCACUAGAGGCGACGGCAGUAUGAAGGUCAGUCUGAAGGGCUUACCCGACGAGCCGAGAGGUAGUGCAUGGCCGCCGUCAGCUCGUGCUGUGAGGUGUCCUGUUAAGUCAGGCAACGAGCGAGACCCAUAUCUACAAUUGCUAACAGAUCAGAAAUGAGGCCUAGCACAUUGUAGGGACUGCCCGGGAAACUGGGAGGAAGGCGUGGGCCACGGUAGGUCUGUAUGCUCCGAAUCUUCUAGGCUACACGCGCGCAACAAUGGUUGGGACAAUGGGAUACAACUCCGAAAGGAGAAGUCAAACCUCUAAACCCAAUCUUAGUCCAGAUUGAGGGUUGUAACUCACCCUCAUGACGAUGGAAUCCCUAGUAAUCGGGUGUUAUCAGCGCCCGGUGAAUAUGUCCCUGCUCCUUGCACACACCGCCCGUCAAACCAUCCGAGCAGGGUUUAGAUGAGAACUAGUUAUUUGACUAGUGCGAAUCUAAGCUCAGUGAGGCGGGUUAAGUCGUCACAAGGUA